rnacentral:rRNA from 1 species
GAUGAACGCUGGCGGCGUGCCUAAUACAUGCAAGUCGAGCGAACAGAUGAGGAGCUUGCUCCUCUUACUUUUGCGGCUGACGGGUGAGUAACACGUGUAUAACCUACCUAUAAGACUGGUAUAACUUCGUGAAACCGUCUCUAAUACCGGAUUAUAUAUUUAACCCCUUGGUUCAAUAGUUAAUGUCGUUUUUUCUGUCACUUAUAGAUUCAUCCUCGCCGCAUUCGCUAGUUGGUAAGGUAACGGCUUACCAAGGCAACCAUGCGUAGCCGACAUGAGAGGGUGAACGGCGACACUGGAACUGAGACACGGUCCAGAAAACUACGGGAGGCAGCAGAAGGGAAUAUUACGCAAUGGGCGAAAGCCUGACGGAGCAAAGCCGCGUGAGUGAAGAAGGUCUGCGGAUAGUAAAACUAUGUUAUUAGGGAAGAAAAAAUGUGAAAGAAACAAUGCACGUAUUGACGGUAGCUAAAAAGAAAGCAACGGCUAACGACGUG